CUUAGGGGGCACAGAGGACCAGAUCCUGCAAAUCCAGAUGUGUUGUGCAGCCAAAAGGCAACAGAUCGUGUGGCUGCAUAUGGCGAGGCGAUGACUAGUCAGCACGGACCAGACUAUGACUGGAGGACCUCACCUAUUGAUCCUCAGGCUGUGUAUGCAAGUGGUGGAAAAGCUCAUGGAAGGUACACAAUGUUUGCUAACGUCAUCGACUCGAGCCAGGUUAG